AUUAAUUAUUGAUGUUGAUUUGUUUCUAUUUUUAAUUUUUACAAAUACUAGUGCAAUUUAAUUAAAGUACUUCCAAACACCCUGAUAAAAAUGCAAGAUGAAAUUACAGUUCUACCCUUAUUAUUAACAAAGGGAAACACUUUGAGUUAGGAGUCAACUGCCAUUAAAUCAAAUGCCACACUAUUUUACGCCAAAUUUUGAUCCAUUCACAUUAGGGACUUUAGGGACCUGGCUUUAAUGGGCUUUCGGGCCCUCUUCCUCCUACUCUCGCUCUCGCUAUUCUCCUCCUCUUCCUCCUCCUCGAACUCAAUUUCAUCCUCGAUAUCAGAUUUUUCAAUGUCAAUUUGAGACAAUGAGGAUUGUGUCAUUUCAUGAUGUUGAUCGAUAUUUUUAGACACGUCUCGACUAUUGCUAAUCUGAUUUUUCUCGCCUCUUUUUUUGCCCCAACGUGGUCCAAAACCCGAGUAAUAGUAGAAUUCGUGCGGAUUAGAUGUCAAACCCACCUUCCUGGCCCGGG
rnacentral:lncRNA from 1 species